rnacentral:tmRNA from 1 species
GGGGGCGAUACGGGUUCGACGGCAAACGGCGAGCGAAGGGAAGCAUGCCGUAGAAGGUCACUACGUAAAAAACCAAAACAAAACAAAACCCGAAAGAGAACUCGCUCUCGCUGCUUAAUUAACGCAGCGACGUCCUGCCUGACUUGCCCGUAGGUUGGGAUAGGGCGGAAGACAAUACGGGAUAGAGCCUUUCUAAUCUCCCCUAAGGAAAGGCUUGAAAUUUCGUGGGGAUAGCUUUAAGCUUCUUUGCCUGUGGAGAAGUUUAAAGCGAAACCUAAACACAGGCUAAGCAUGUAGAAGCCCUUUAGGCUUGCUUUUGUCGGACGAGGGUUCGAUUCCCUCCGCCUCCACUU